ACCCGCUGAACUUAAGCAUAUCAAUAAGCGGAGGAAAAGAAACCAACAGGGAUUGCCCUAGUAACGGCGAGUGAAGCGGCAACAGCUCAAAUUUGAAAUCUGGCUCUUUUAGAGUCCGAGUUGUAAUUUGCAGAGGGCGCUUUGGCUUUGGCAGCGGUCCAAGUUCCUUGGAACAGGACGUCACAGAGGGUGAGAAUCCCGUACGUGGUCGCUGGCUAUUGCCGUGUAAAGCCCCUUCGACGAGUCGAGUUGUUUGGGAAUGCAGCUCUAAAUGGGAGGUACAUUUCUUCUAAAGCUAAAUAUUGGCCAGAGACCGAUAGCGCACAAGUAGAGUGAUCGAAAGAUGAAAAGCACUUUGGAAAGAGAGUCAAACAGCACGUGAAAUUGUUGAAAGGGAAGCGCUUGCAGCCAGACUUGCUUACAGUUGCUCAUCCGGGCUUUUGCCCGGUGCACUCUUCUGUAGGCAGGCCAGCAUCAGUUCGGGCGGUAGGAUAAAGGUCUCUGUCACGUACCUCCUCUCGGGGAGGCCUCAUAGGGGAGACGACAUACUACCAGCCUGGACUGAGGUCCGCGCAUCUGCUAGGAUGCUGGCGUAAUGGCUGU
rnacentral:rRNA from 1 species